rnacentral:lncRNA from 1 species
CUGAGAGCCCCGGGGUCAUCAGUCUGCAGUGAACCAAACUGAAGUUGUAGAGCAGGAACUCAUCCAGUAAUGAAGUUUCAGAUGUUCAAUCUCUACCAAAAAUCAACCAUUUAAAGAUAUGGGCACCUGCGGGAUGUGGCCUGGGGAAGGAUCACAGGAGAGAUCCGGAGGCGAGGCUCCCGCCCCCGCCCCCGCCCCGGCGCCCAGCUCCUACUGUGUUGGCCUGGCUCAGCCAGGAUCAAGGAGAUCCCUAUCUUCAACAACUAUGUGAAGCUGCCGCUCUCCAAGUUCUGUGAGCCCUACAGUGGAGACGAUAGCAAAUCAUCAGGGAGAGGAACCACUUGGGAAAAACUAAAGAAAAGGGGAAAAGAAAAAGGACUAAAGUUCAUCGUUAAAUAUCAUCAAAUUAGAUUCGCUUGGAUAUGAUCUUCCAUUUCAUCUCACACAUGAAAAUUGGUAAUCUAUUCAUAACUCACAUUGUCAUGCCCAGGAUAAAGCCACCAUUACUCUCCUGGAAAUAUAGGUAAAAAAUAUAAGAUAUUUUUCAUUGUUCUCUCUGUCUUUAUAUCUUCCAUUCACAGUCACCAAUUCCUUUUGUGCAAUAUUUUGUGUUCUGUCUUUUCCAUUCUAAUAUUCACUGCCCUGGUUCAGAAUCUUUUUGUAUUUGUCCUUGACUACAAUAGUUAUUUAUUCAUUCAUUUUUUCAGUCAUUCAACAGAUAUUUUCUUGAGCUCCUACUGUGUGCCAGUCACCGGUCUGAGGAUAUAGCAGAGAUAGACAUAAAGGAAUCCGAGCUCUUGGGACAUUCUACUGGAGGAACACAAUAAACUGUAACUAGUAAGUCA